rnacentral:rRNA from 1 species
AUUGAACGCUGGCGGCAUGCCUUACACAUGCAAGUCGAACGGCAGCACGGGAGCAAUCCUGGUGGCGAGUGGCGAACGGGUGAGUAAUAUAUCGGAACGUGCCCAGUCGUGGGGGAUAACGUAGCGAAAGCUACGCUAAUACCGCAUACGAUCUAUGGAUGAAAGCGGGGGAUCGCAAGACCUCGCGCGAUUGGAGCGGCCGAUAUCAGAUUAGGUAGUUGGUGAGGUAAAGGCUCACCAAGCCGACGAUCUGUAGCUGGUCUGAGAGGACGACCAGCCACACUGGGACUGAGACACGGCCCAGACUCCUACGGAGGCAGCAGUGGGGAAUUUUUGGACAAUGGGNGCAAGCCUGAUCCAGCAAUGCCGCGUGCAGGAUGAAGGCC